AACACUGUGAGGACUUGCCCUUCCAAGUGGUGCGCGUGCUCUACCACUGAGCCGUGGGAUUAUCAGAAAUACUUGUUACCGAACCUCCGGUGUUAGCAAGCAAAGUGAAGAGGGUUUGGAGCAGAGCCGCGUUUUGAAACCUGGUUUAGAAGUUCUGGGCUGACUUUCUCUGACUUUUUAAAACAUUCUCUGGAGAGCCACUCCCAUGGCGGAGCGGAGCAGCAGGACGACCCAGCUCCGUCUCCAGUUCGGACACGAGGAGAGCUCGUUUCCAGGUUUUGCGGAAUCGUUUUGACAUCCCCUCCAGUGGAAUGCGGUUUGGAGAGUUUUUGACGGAAUAACCUGAAAUUCGUCGACCGGGCCAGCUUCUACCGUCUAUUGAAGAGAAGGAAACACCUGAACGGACACCUGCGUGACCGGACAACACCUGAGCUGUAAGGUGAAUCCUAGUGGCCUAACCUCGCGUAACUUCAGGUCCCAUCAUGUCUUCUCGCCUCCUUGGAUUCAGACCAUCGCCUGUGUGUU